GAUAAACGCUGGCGGCGUGCCUAACACAUGCAAGUCGAACGCCCUUUUGCGCAAGUGAGAGGGAGUGGCGGAUGGGUGAGUAGCACGUGGGUACCUACCUUGAGGUGAGGAAUACCACCGAGAAAUCGGUGACAAGACCGCAUGUCUUCGGCACCGAAGAAAGUCUCGCAAGAGACGCCACAAGAUGAGCCUGCGCCUGAUUAGCUGGUUGGUGAGGUAACAGCUCACCAAGGCAACGAUCAGUAGCUGGUCUGAGAGGAUGAUCAGCCACACUGGGAUUGAGAACGGCCCAGACUCC
rnacentral:rRNA from 1 species